rnacentral:lncRNA from 1 species
CUGCGACAUUGACAAAAGUGCAAGGGAUUAAAAGUUGUGCACGGCAUCGAGCCAACCGAAAAAACGCCAUCGUUGGCUGACCACAUGGACACAUGGAGAGAGGCAAACCAGGCACAGCCAUGCAGCCAUACACCUUCGCUUUAUUUGAUUUUUUUCAGCCGCACUUUUCAGGAAUUGAAGUCACGUAGUUUUUGUGCAAUUUUUGCUGUGUCCCUCCACUUGACAACGACUUUUUUUGAUUUGGUUAUGUUGCUAAAUUAAAUUCAGGCUUAGCAGUCGCACUCUCUGAUGUUGUGCUGAUUAAAUUGCUCCUCCGUGAUCCACCAUUUACGUGAUUUCAAUGCACAAUUUACAAUCUAAUAAACAUGCGUCCAUGGACCUUAUGGGUUAGGGCCCAGGCUAACUUUUAAUUAGUUUAGUGUCACCUUAGCACAUUCCUCCUUCCUGGGGUUCGCAUGGGGUCCGGUAUACCCUUAGCUGUGGAUUUGCAUUCAAAGAGGUGCCAAGUUCUGUAUAUAUAUAUUCAAAGAUCUAUAGAUAACCGCGACCAUGUGCUAACGUCUGUUUGCUCGUCUCAAAAUUGUUGAAUGCUGCCCCAAGCUGUGGCCCUCUCUGUGUGCUAUGUGUGCGUCCACGCCGUUUACUUAGAUCCUAAUCGCUCUGGCAGGUGUACGUAUUCGUGUUCGUAUUCGAGGCUUCCGUUUCACAGCUCCCUUCUGCUGGCCAUGACCACACUCCUCACAGCACAUCCAAUUAACUUGAUGUCGUCGUGGCAGCAUUUCUGAGGUGAAAAGUUGCAGCCAAAUUGCGCGAAUGUCAUCAACCGAAAUCUCUGCUGUCGAUGUGGAGUCCCUUUUGGCAAGCAACAUAUAUUAUCCUAUGAAAAUCCCAGGUGUCUAGCACAGGUAUAAGAACUAAAGAGAAUCUUUCCAUAGCAUUGGUUAAUAACUUCCUUCUUUAUCCUUCAAAAAGAGUACACAAAUUUCAAUAGAUUGUUAAAAAUUGGUUCGUUCUUUUCAUUAUUUUUGUUUUCUAUUUGUAUUCUCUGUAUCGCUCCCUCU